CCUACGGGGGGCUGCAGUGGGGAAUAUUGGACAAUGGGCGAAAGCCUGAUCCAGCCAUGCCGCGUGUGUGAAGAAGGCCUUCGGGUUGUAAAGCACUUUCAGUGGGGAAGAAAGCCUUGGGGCUAAUACCCUCGAGGAAGGACAUCACCCACAGAAGAAGCACCGGCUAACUCCGUGCCAGCAGCCGCGGUAAUACGGAGGGUGCGAGCGUUAAUCGGAAUUACUGGGCGUAAAGCGCGCGUAGGCGGUCUGAUAAGCCGGUUGUGAAAGCCCCGGGCUCAACCUGGGAACGGCAUCCGGAACUGUCAGGCUAGGGUGCAGGAGAGGAAGGUAGAAUUCCCGGUGUAGCGGUGAAAUGCGUAGAGAUCGGGAGGAAUACCAGUGGCGAAGGCGGCCUUCUGGACUGACACUGACGCUGAGGUGCGAAAGCGUGGGUAGCAAACAGGAUUAGAUACCCCUGUAGUC
rnacentral:rRNA from 1 species